UACAGAGGUCCCAAGCGUUGUUCGGAUUCACUGGGCGUAAAGGGUGCGUAGGUGGUUGGGUAAGUUUGAUGUGAAAUCUCCGGGCUUAACCCGGAAACUGCAUUGAAUACUAUCUGGCUAGAGGGUUGGAGGGGGGACUGGAAUACUUGGUGUAGCAGUGAAAUGCGUAGAUAUCAAGUGGAACACCAGUGGCGAAGGCGAGUCCCUGGACAACUCCUGACACUGAGGCACGAAAGCCAGGGGAGCAAACGGG
rnacentral:rRNA from 1 species